AGAACGAACGCUGGCGGCGUGGAUAAGACAUGCAAGUCGAACGCGACUUAUCGUGUUAGCAAUAACAUGGUAAGUUGAGUGGCGAAAGGGUGCGUAACACGUGGGAAUUUACCAAAAAGUGGGGAAUAGCUUGGCGAAAGCCAAAUUAAUACCGCAUGUGAUCGAAAGAUCAAAGCCGGGGACCGCAAGGCCUGGCGCUUUUUGAGAAGCCCGCGGCCCAUCAGCUAGUUGGCGGGGUAACGGCCCACCAAGGCUAUGACGGGUAGCUGGUCUGAGAGGACGACCAGCCACACUGGAACUGAGACACGGUCCAGACACCUACGGGUGGCAGCAGUCGAGAAUUUUUCACAAUGGACGAAAGUCUGAUGGAGCGACGCCGCGUGGAGGAUGAAGGUUUUCGGAUUGUAAACUCCUGUCACUGCAGAACAGGCAGUGCGUAUGAAUAGUACGUGC
rnacentral:rRNA from 1 species